rnacentral:rRNA from 1 species
CGCUGGCGGCACGCUUAACACAUGACAAGUCGAACGAAAUGUUUCACCGUAGCUUGCUACACCGAGACAUUUUAGUGGCGGACGGGUGAGUAACACGUGAGGAACCUGCCUAUCAGAGAGGGAUACCGUUUGGAAACGAACGUUAAUACCUCAUAACGUAACGAGAUCGCAUGAUAAUGUUACCAAAGAUUUAUCGCUGAUAGAUGGCCUCGCGUCUGAUUAGAUAGUUGGUGAGGUAACGGCUCACCAAGUCGACGAUCAGUAGCCGGACUGAGAGGUUGAAACGGCCACAUUGGGACUGAGACACGGCCCAGACUCCUACGGGAGGCAGCAGUGGGGAAUAUUGCACAAUGGAGGAAACUCUGAUGCAGCGAUGCCGCGUGAGGGAAGAAGGUUUUCGGAUUGUAAACCUCUGUCUUCAGGGACGAUAAUGACGGUACCUGAGGAGGAAGCUCCGGCUAACUACGUG